rnacentral:rRNA from 1 species
CAAAAACAUAGCCAAGUUCAAGUUUACUAGGUGAUACCUGCUCAGUGGUCAAUAAUUAAAUUAACUUAAAAGUUAAAAAUUUGACUAAACAGCUGCCUUAAUCCUAGAGGGUACUAAGUAAGCAUAAUCUGAUGCCGUUUGAUUGGCGGAGAGUUGAAUGGAUUAACGAGUGCAUACCUGUCUUAUCAAAAGAAAAAUUUAAUUAGACAUUUAAGUGAAGAGGCUUAAAAUAAUAGAAAGACGAGAAGACCCCGUGAAGCUUUACUAUAAACUAACUUUAUAAUUUUUUUUUCUUUAUCUUUUUUUUAUUAAAUUAGCCAAUUUUGUUUAUUAUUAGUAGUUAGUUUGGUAGUUUGGGUGGGGCGCCCGCACUUUAAUAAAAACAAGUAGUUGAUAACAUAAUUAUUAAGACUAUAUAAAUUACUUUUUUAUUUAGGGUUAUUUUACUAUCAAAAACCCUUACUAUUUAAAUAAUAGUAGGUCAUAGAAUAAUAGCUACUCCGGGGAUAACAGGGUAAUUAAAUUUUACAGUAGUUAUGUGAUAUUUUGUUUGCCACCUCGAUGUUGAAUUGGCUUAUCCUAGCGGAGAAGAAGCUGCUAAGGGUGGGACUGUUCGUCCCUUAAAAAGCUACAUGAUUUGAGUUCAUUCCGUAAAG